GAGAGGCGCUGUUGGUCAAAGGAGAAGAAGAGAUGAUAAGUACACUAGAGCCCCUGCCCAGUCGCCCCCUCGCUCGACGUCUCCCAGUCUGGAGCUCGGACUCGCCAGCUUCCCCCCGCUGUCCUUGGCCAUACCUACCGCUGAACCUGUUGUGACCAGCAAGCAAGGGUCAGCCGGCAAUCACAAGGUAACCAUGAGUCACAUCCACAGUCUCAUUCACACACAGCCUCUACACUGUUUGUAAGAUUCGUUUUUUUGUGUUCCAGAGUGCAAUUACAGACAGCAUUACCAGCCAGUCAACGACUGUGACAUCACAGGGCCUUGAGCCUAUCACAGCCUUUCCUCAGAUAACCCUUCCCAUGGUUCUAAAGGAGAACACCGCUUCUCCGAAGGGGAUCAAAGCAGCUCCUUCGGCCAUUGAAGAACCGUUUCAGGGCGUGGAGGAGAAUGGACCAGCAGCGGAGUCCAAGAAGCCGAGCUACGCUGAGAUCUGCCAAAGGAUACGAGCCAAUCAGACGCAUCAUGCAAAGCUAAAUGAUCACACACCCUUAGGGGGGGAACUUGUCCCAGCCUAUCCUGCACAGGAUCCUAAGCCAGCCCAGUUACAACCCUUACCAGAGUGACGUCCUCACUCUGGGCUGAGGGAAAGAAGAGAAAGACGUUUUUCAACACAAAGGGGGGAAAAGGAGCUAUACCCGUGGUUAUGAUGUUAUUUAAGAGGAAGAUGUGAGCCAAGUAGUACCCAUGUUUUUCUUUGCUGUCUGUCUAUUAGUUUUCUGUCUGUCUGACUGACUGACCUCUCUAAAUACUUUAAGUUACUUACCUCUCUAAAUACUUUACUUGUUUUAUUGAUUUUUUUUGUUAAUGAAUAUUUGGAGGAUCUGACAUCAGACUGCUGUUUUAAUUCCACAGUCUAAAUAACUUGAAUAACUGGAAAAGUUACAGUAGCUACAAACAGUCAGACAAUAAUUGCUGAGAGGCUAAAACACUGAUAUUAACCUUUGUUUUUGCAUGAGUUUUAGAUUUAAUUUACUGACUUACAGUGUGGUUAGACAGAGUGCCUUCAGUUUAACUGGUUUGUGUAGAUUUGGGUUCAGGGAGGGGAGCAUGUCAGUUACACACUGACUUCAAUUGAGAACCAUCUCAGGGGUUGUUUCUGUAUACAUAAAACACUGGUUACAUUAGUUAACAAGUUGAAUUUAAUUUGAAUUAGGGAAGGGGAUUAAAGCAGAUUGUGGAGAGGUUUGUGUGGAAAGUUUUCAAUUUCCAUUUCCUGUGUUUGAGAUUUAGUUUGUUAACUUGAUUAUACAGAUGCAGAGUUGAGGCACAGUUUAAAAAAGGUUAUUGUUUGAUUUUGUUCUGUACAGUUGUAAAUAAUUUCACUAAUGUGAUUAAACAAGUGCCUUAAAAAGAAACAAGGGACAAGUUUAUUUUUGCUAAAUGUUUUACAUUUACAAUUACAGUUUU
rnacentral:lncRNA from 1 species